GCGCGUUUGGGGGGGCUUUUUUGCUCCCCUGCUUAUAAGCACCUGACCUGUGUGCGUUUGGUAAACCUGCUUUUGCCCAGCUUUUGGCAGAAGCCACUGCUUCUUUUGGUCGAAAAGCCGAAGCCAGCAACCCCAUGCUUUUAGAAGCAAGCACUGGCUUUUCCACUGUAGCGGGAGUUACUGUAGUUUAAUGAACAUUUCGAAAUACCGGGUUGUGUCCUCUCUUCCUUUCAGCAAUUACACCACACUGCCAUCAAACCCUUGUCUUCCAUGUUGAAAAGUGAAGCCUCCAGCGCCGCGCAGUGAACACUGCUCUUGCAUCUCGCUGACUGCCUCCUCUCAUUUGUGUUCGUACCAGGCUCUGAAAAUCGAAAGCUCUGCAGAUCAUUAAUAGUUGGAGAUAGAGUUGGGGAACCCUUGAAGGUAUAACUGUAAAAGGGGUGGUAUGUUUAGGUGUUGGGUUUGCAAGGAAGAUGCUACAAGUUGUGACCACAACUGCCACUGCUGGUGCCCUUUGAGUUUCAAAAUUAGUGGAUAGUUAUAGUAGCAGUAGCAAGGCUAGUCUGUGACUCGAUUAUAAAACUGAAUGUCUGAGAGAAUUUGAAUGAUGUAAUGAUUGAACGGAAAUGAUCCAUGAUCAAUUGUAAUACAAAAUGGAGUUUAUAGAUCCAA